GGGGAAAAUUUUUUUGCGUGUGUGUACUUCUAACUGAUCUGUAUAUCAUCUUUUUUGGUUAGAAAUAUAAGUUCUUUAUUUUGCUAUUGGAUGUUUUAGGAGGAGAGUUAUUCCAUGUGUAUAUGAAUAAAGGAGAGGUUUUUCCUCUGUGAGUUCAGCUGCCAUCACUAAAAUAGAAGAGGAACAUGAACAUGUACAGGAUGAUUACUAACUGCGGUGCUAGGUAUGUAUUCAUUCGAUUGCUACAUUUUUCUGCCCCUCGAGUUGCCUUUUUGAUUUCUUUUUUCUUAACUAUUCUUUUUCCCCCAUUUGACUGAUGUUGAAGGUGUUCGGUGAAUUUUAUAUAUUGGUUAAUGAUUUUAUGGUCUAU
rnacentral:lncRNA from 1 species